rnacentral:rRNA from 1 species
UGCAGUCGAGCGGUAACAGAUCCAGCUUGCUGGAUGCUGACGAGCGGCGGACGGGUGAGUAAUGCAUAGGAAUCUGCCCGAUAGUGGGGGAUAACCUGGGGAAACCCAGGCUAAUACCGCAUACGUCCUACGGGAGAAAGGGGGCUCCGGCUCCCGCUAUGGGAUGAGCCUAUGUCGGAUUAGCUAGUUGGUGAGGUAACGGCUCACCAAGGCCACGAUCCGUAGCUGGUCUGAGAGGAUGAUCAGCCACAUCGGGACUGAGACACGGCCCGAACUCCUACGGGAGGCAGCAGUGGGGAAUAUUGGACAAUGGGGGCAACCCUGAUCCAGCCAUGCCGCGUGUGUGAAGAAGGCCCUCGGGUUGUAAAGCACUUUCAGCGAGGAAGAACGCCUAGCGGUUAAUACCCGCUAGGAAAGACAUCACUCGCAGAAGAAGCACCGGCUAACUCCGUGCCAGCAGCCGCGGUAAUACGGAGGGUGCAAGCGUUAAUCGGAAUUACUGGGCGUAAAGCGCGCGUAGGUGGCUUGAUAAGCCGGUUGUGAAAGCCCCGGGCUCAACCUGGGAACGGCAUCCGGAACUGUCAAGCUAGAGUGCAGGAGAGGAAGGUAGAAUUCCCGGUGUAGCGGUGAAAUGCGUAGAGAUCGGGAGGAUUACCAGUGGGCGAAGCGGGCUUCUGGACUGAGACUGACACUGA